rnacentral:rRNA from 1 species
UCCCUAUGGGGUGCAGCAGUCGCGAAAACUUUGCAAUACACGAAAGUGUGACAAGGCUAUCCCGAGUGCCAUCCGCUGAGGAAGGCUUUUACCCAGUAUAAAUAGCUGGGAGAAUAAGGAGAGGGCAAGUCUGGUGUCAGCCGCCGCGGUAAUACCAGCUCUCCGAGUAGUGUGGAUGUUUAUUGGGCCUAAAGCAUCCGUAGCCUGCUAAGCAAGUCCCCUGUUAAAUCCACCGAUUCAAUCGGUGGAUUGCGGGGGAUACUGUUUGGCUAGGGGACGGGAGAGGCCGACGGUAUUCCCGGGGUAGGGGUGAAAUCCUAUAAUCCCGGGAAGACCACCAGUGGCGAAGGCUGUCGGCUAGAACGCGCCCGACGGUGAGGGAUGAAAGCUGGGGGAGCGAACCGGAUUAGAUACCCGGGUAGUCCCAGCCGUAAACGAUGCAGGCUAGGUGUUUGGGCGGCCACGAGCCGCCCUAGUGCCGCAGGGAAGCUGUUAAGCCUGCCGCCUGGGGAGUACGGCCGCAAGGCUGAAACUUAAAGGAAUUGGCGGGGGAGCACCACAAGGCGUGAAGCUUGCGGUUCAAUUGGAUUCAACGCCGGAA